AUUGAACGCUGGCGGCAUGCCUUACACAUGCAAGUCGAACGGUAACAGGUCUUCGGAUGCUGACGAGUGGCGAACGGGUGAGUAAUACAUCGGAACGUGCCCGAUCGUGGGGGAUAACGAAGCGAAAGCUUUGCUAAUACCGCAUAAGAUCUACGGAUGAAAGCAGGGGACCGCAAGGCCUUGCGCGAACGGAGCGGCCGAUGGCAGAUCAGGUAGUUGGUGGGAUAAAGGCUUACCAAGCCGACGAUCUGUAGCUGGUCUGAGAGGACGACCAGCCACACUGGGACUGAGACACGGCCCAGACUCCUACGGGAGGCAGCAGUGGGGAAUUUUGGACAAUGGGCGAAAGCCUGAUCCAGCCAUGCCGCGUGCAGGAUGAAGGCCUUCGGGUUGUAAACUGCUUUUGUACGGAACGAAAAGACUCUUUCUAAUAAAGAGGGUCCAUGACGGUACCGUAAGAAUAAGCACCGGCUAACUACGUGCCAGCCGCCGCAGUAAAAC
rnacentral:rRNA from 1 species